rnacentral:rRNA from 1 species
UACGUAGGGGGCAAGCGUUGUCCGGAUUUACUGGGCGUAAAGAGCGCGUAGGCGGAAGCUUAAGUGUGGCCUGAAAGCCCCCGGCUCAACCGGGGAGGGUGGCUGCAAACUGGGUUUCUUGAGGGCGAUAGAGGAGAGUGGAAUUCCUGGUGUAGCGGUGAAAUGCGUAGAUAUCAGGAGGAACACCGGUGGCGAAGGCGGCUCUCUGGAUCGGCCCUGACGCUGAGGCACGAAAGCGUGGGGAGCAAACAGG